UACGUAGGGGGCAAGCGUUGUCCGGAUUUAUUGGGCGUAAAGAGCUCGUAGGCGGUUCGGCAAGUCGGGUGUGAAAUUUCGAGGCUCAACCUCGAAACGCCACUCGAUACUGCUGUGACUGGAGUCCGGUAGAGGAGUGCGGAAUUCCUGGUGUAGCGGUGAAAUGCGCAGAUAUCAGGAGGAACACCAACGGCGAAGGCAGCACUCUGGGCCGGUACUGACGCUGAGGCGCGAAAGCGUGGGGAGCAAACAGG
rnacentral:rRNA from 1 species